GAAGCUGGCUAGACAGUCGCUGCGUGUCCACACACGGAGAGGAAAGUCCGGGCUCCAUAGAGCAGAAUGCCGGUUAACGACCGGAGGCCGUGAGGCCAUGGAAAGUGAUACAGAGACUUAGACCGCCGAUGUAUUGUUUAGGCAAUGCAGGUAAGGGUGAAAAGGUGCGGUAAGAGCGCACCGCGAAACUGGCAACAGUUUUGGCAUGUUAAACCCCAUUCGGAGCAAGACCAAAUAGAGGAACGUUAACGUGGCUCGCGUUGUUCCUGGGUAGGUUGCUGGAACGACUGGGUAACCAGUCGUCUAGAGGAAUGACUGUCCACGACAGAACCCGGCUUACCGGCCAGCUUCACCU
rfam:Ferrovum sp. JA12 FERRO_contig000001, whole genome shotgun sequence.